rnacentral:rRNA from 1 species
AGUGAACGCUGGCGGUAGGCCUAACACAUGCAAGUCGAACGGCAGCACAGUAAGAGCUUGCUCUUACGGGUGGCGAUUGGCGGACGGGUGAGGAAUACAUCGGAAUCUACUUUUUCGUGGGGGAUAACGUAGGGAAACUUACACUAAUACCGCAUACGACCUACGGGUGAAAGCAGGGGAUCUUCGUACCUUGCGCGAUUGAAUGAGCCGAUGUCGGAUUAGCUAGUUGUCGGGGUAAGGCCCACCAAGGCGACGAUCCGUAGCUGGUCCUAGAGGAUGAUCAGCCACACUGGAACUGAGACACGGUCCAGACUCCUACGGGAGACAGCAGUGGGGAAUAUUGGACAAUGGGCGCAAGCCUGAUCCAGCCAUACCGCGUGGGUGAAGAAGGCCUUCGGGUUGUAAAGCCCUUUUGUUGGGAAAGAAAAGCAGCAGGUUAAUGCCCCGAUGUUCUGACGGUACCCAAAGAAUAAGCACCGGCUAACUUCGUG